GCACAGUAAAUUAUAAUACACAUAUUUAACAUACUUGAAUAUACUUAAAAUCACAGAAAACAGUGAAAACGACACAAACAGGCAACAAGGGUUAGCUCAGGAAUGAACUGAAUACAGGGAAGCUGGGGCCCUUCACUGUCCUUUUUCAUUUUUUUAAAAUAAGCAUUUACUACUUUCAUUUUUAAAAAGCACAAGAUAUUAAUGCUGAAAGUCAAGUCCUUAGAGAUCACCUGGUCUCUCAAGAGACAGUACCUCACACGUCCGAGAAUAAGAGAAUAAUAGAUUGAGAACUCCUGACUCCCAGGCUGGUUUCUAUCAGACCCAGCUGCCUGGGGAAAUAACAGGCAUCAAUUAAUAAGGCCCUACCUGCUGCCCUUGAAUAUUUAUCAUCUCUAACUUUCACAACCAACCUUACAAGAGUAAACUGAUACAGAACUUUCUCAACACUCCAGACCCACCCCACCGUGCUGCCAAACUAACAGCACAAAUGCACACAAAGAACGAGACAGACCUGUGG
rnacentral:lncRNA from 1 species